rnacentral:lncRNA from 1 species
CAGAGUAAUCUGAAAGCAGCGUUCCAACACAUCUUCACUUUUACGAAGGGAUAGGCAGAUACUUCCAUCAUAGCGAUUCUUAAACUUCGAGGGGUUACAACACCCUUGCAAAUAUUUUUAUAGCUAUGGACCCUCUCCUCAGAUCUACAGCCAACAUUUUCAGUGCACUUUAGGAGGUCAUUGUAGUCCAUGCCUCUGAAAAAGCUGUGCUCCAACGGCUGAGGAGCAAGCCACACAGCAGACAAUGGGGCUCCCUUUGCCUUCAUGAAAGCUACUUCCCCCAACACUAAGACUCAGCUGUACGUUUGCUUAGCUCAGUCACAUUUACAUUCUUCUGGGUGAACUGUACCUUUUGAGUACCUGCCUUCAUUUUCUAGAGUCAGACCUAACAAGGUCAGUGGAAGCCUGGGCAGCAGCGGGCCUAGAAAGACCAGGCAGCCGGCAUGAACUGCUGUUCUCUCCCUGACCACAAAGCGUUGUCUUCCUCCAGGGUCAAGUAAUUGUUCCUGUUCUGCCUCACAGGAAUGUGGGGAGGAAGGACAUAACACUGUAACAUGCUAUGUCCUACCUUACAGUUGUACUGUGAGAAAGCUGGAAACUUCCACCUGUUCAGUGGGUCUGGUUUGCAUGUUUAUGUUUCGUUUGUGGGAACUGCUUGUCCAAGAGAGAGCUCAGGUCAGGGCAGUUUGUGCCUGUGAGAAUUAGCUCAGCUAUCAGAGGCAGAUUUUUAGACACCUUUUUAAAAUGUGCUCGUGUUUGGUUUGUUUUCCUUAUUGUCACUCCUGGGUCAAUCAAAGGUUUGUAAGGGUGAGAAUUUUUAUGCACUGCUGUAUCACAAGUGCUUAAAACAGAGACUGACCCAGAUGAGGCAUUCUGUAAAUGUUUGUUGAAAUGAAUGGACAAACUCUUAGGAUAAAUCCUAAUUUGUUGGCAACUGUGAUUUGAUUUUAGAAGGCAAACGUGAUUUUAUUUUUAGAAAGGAGAAGGGAAGGGGAGGCUCAUUAGCCUCUUGGUAGAGAGAGGAAUAUUUCUGCAAAUGAAUAGGUUUCCACCUUAAGUAGUGAUGGUCCUUAACUUCUUAUUAUGGAGUGAGUCUUGACCACUUUCCAAAUUCAAUACAAGUUCAAGAUUGCCUUUCAGUGGUUAGGGAAAUUGAAGCUUUAAAAGAAUAAACCUCUUAAAAGGGGAUGUUGAUGGAAAUGUACAAUUACCAGUAAUUGAGGUUUUAUCUGAGGGGAUGGAGAUGAUGAAAUGGUUCCUUCUGAGAAGUUGUUGGCAUUUUGGCUUUAUUUUUCACAAAUAAAGUGAAACCAUUUAAAACGAUUGACAACAAUGAUAUUGUGUCAUGUGGAAUACAAUAGAUAUUAAUUUGUGGUUGGUUUUUCUGCGUGCUUUAAAUGAAAUGUAUUAUGUUUCGGGUUUCCUCUUUUAGCUGUAAAAAUACUUCGUCACUAAAGCAUGAAAUUUAAUCAGCAAUUGUUCUUCAAGUUCCUGAAAGCUAUAAAAGUUUCUUAUGACUUGAGUGGUUUUUUUUCCCUGCCCACCAGAGGAGAAAGCCCUUGUAGAAUUCUGCAGUGUUACAAGUGUUCCCUAUAAAAACUGAAACCAUCAGCUACUCCUUAACAAGCUGGCUUUUUAAAAGCACGUAAUUACAAUUUAAUGGUAUUCUGUAAAAUGGUGCUCUAGGCAUAAUUUAAAUUCUUUUUAAUGACUAUAUUUCUUCAAAACUUUGAAAGAAAAGUGUGUGUUCUUUUUGCUGCAUCCUUUGUAAGAAGACUGCCAACAGAUGAAGAAGGACUUUACAAAUUAAGGCCAUCUUGGUUUCAUUUCCACAAAGAUGAGAACAAAUCAUGGUGUUAAGAAAGGAUCCUUAGAAGAACACAAGAAUCUUGAAAGCCCUUGGUGGUUAUCACUAUUAUAUUUCAUAUUUCCACAGAAGUCACUUAGCCAAGCUCUGCAUUUUGAGCCUGCUGACUUUCAUUUAAAGAAGAAUGAAAGGCUGAAAAUCCAGGCUGCUGUGUCUGUACAUAAAGGUCAAACCAUGUUUGAGUUCUUCACUGUUGUGUCCACCUAAAUAAAACUGAUGGAUUUAAAGAGGCUCCGAAGGCCAGCAGAUGCGAUUUUGCAGCACAACUUAAAGAAGUUCCUCGAUCUUCUAACAACACAAUAUUCAACCAAGAAAUAGUGAUAAUAUCACUUACUUCAGAAGACUCUUGUGAGGGUUAAAAGAGGGAACAGAUGUCAACAACUACAAUGCCUGGCACAGUCUCUUGCCACUGCCAUGUAAGAAGUGCCUUUUUGCCCUCUGCCAUGAUGGUGAGACCUCCCUAGCUAUGUUGGACUAAACUGUUUGAACAUGACAUCAUAGUCGAAACUGGUGGUCCUUUGUGAAUGAGCUGCCCAGCGUUCUGCCUCAAUAAACCUCCCUGGACACAGAGUAAGUGUUCAUUUAGUGAUGGCUCACACCUGUAAUCCCAGCACUUUGUGGGGCUAAGGUGGGUGCAUCACCUGACAUCAGGAGUUCGAGACCAGCCUGGCCAACAUGGUGAAACCCGUCUCUACUAAAAAUACAAAAAAAUUAGCUGGGCGUGGUGGCAGGCACCUGUAAUCCUAGCUACUUGGGAGGCUGAGGUAGGAGAAUCACUUGAACCUGAGAGGCAGAGGUUGCAGUGAGCCAAGAUCAAGCCAUUGCACUCCAGCCUGGUCAACAAGAGCGAAACUCCAUCUAAAAAAAAAAAGAAAAA